GAAAGAUGGAAGCCCUGACUCUCCUUCUCUGUCUGCUUCUAACUGCCUAUCAAGCAAAUACCAUUGGGUCAUGGACAACAGAUGACUGGCUGUAUUCCACUGAAGGGUCUCCAGGACCAUGUGGUGGCUCUAUGACGGAUUGGAUGGGUGAAUUUUUCAGCCCCCGUUACCCUAAUAACUACCCUGAUAACGCACGAUGCACAUGGACCAUUCAUAACACAGGGGCGACAACUGUGCUAUUGACCUUUACCGAUGUUUUGUAGGAAGCAUUCAUUAUCUACCAUUAUCUCUAUCCGUUUUGUCGCUUGAUUUAAUUUCUUAAUUUAUGAGA